rnacentral:rRNA from 1 species
UAAUGCCGGAUGCUCCGACUCCUCGCAUGGGGUGUCGGGAAAGAUUCUAUCGGUAUGGGAUGGGGUCGCGUCCUAUCAGGUAGUCGGCGGGGUAACGGCCCACCGAGCCUACGACGGGUAGCCGGCCUGAGAGGGCGACCGGCCACAUUGGGACUGAGAUACGGCCCAGACUCCUACGGGAGGCAGCAGUGGGGAAUAUUGCACAAUGGGCGCAAGCCUGAUGCAGCGACGCCGCGUGCGGGAUGACGGCCUUCGGGUUGUAAACCGCUUUUGAUCGGGAGCAAGCCUUCGGGUGAGUGUACCUUUCGAAUAAGCACCGGCUAACUACGUGCCAGCAGCCGCGGUAAUACGUAGGGUGCAAGCGUUAUCCGGAAUUAUUGGGCGUAAAGGGCUCGUAGGCGGUUCGUCGCGUCCGGUGUGAAAGUCCAUCGCUUAACGGUGGAUCUGCGCCGGGUACGGGCGGGCUGGAGUGCGGUAGGGGAGACUGGAAUUCCCGGUGUAACGGUGGAAUG